AUGUUGAGCCUCCGCAGCCUGAUUAGGAAGAACAGCCACUGUCUUAGUGAUAAAGUCAGUGUGAAGAGUCCAGGCAGUCUCGUCAUCGCCAGUAAUCAGGCCAAUGGUGGUUGUAUCGUCAGCAAAUUUAAUGAUGGUAUUGGAGUUGUGGGUGGCCACGCCGUCGUGCGUGAACAGGGGGUACAGCAGAGGACUGAGCACACAACCCAAGGAGUGCAGGAGGUUUUUGUACGACCACUUAAUGAGUUUGUAUCACUGUGGAGGACUUUUGGUGGAGGAACCAAACUCAUCGUUGACUCUGGCCCCAUGGUCAGGCCCUCAGUCUCUCUGCUUCCUCCCUCCUCUGAGCAGAUCUCUGAGGGGUCGGCCACGCUGUCCUGCCUGCUGACCGGCUACUCUCCUCAGGGAGCCGUGGUGAGCUGGGAGGUGGACGGUACAGAGGUGACAGAGGGGGUCCUGACCAGCUCAGAGGAGGAGAAGAGUGGACGUUACAGCAGCAGCAGCAUCCUGAGCCUGAGCCAGAAGAGCUGGAUGAAAGGAGAGCUGUUCUCCUGUAAGGUCCUCCAUCAUGACCACAGACAGACCCAGUUCCUCCACAGGAGCCAGUGUGUGGACUAGAGGAGCCGACCGAAGCCCAGGACAGCAGCUGUGUGUGGGGGAGCAGGUGGAACACACCUGCUGCUCUGAUCAAUAUGAGUUUUAAUGUUUGGAGAAGAAACUAAAGCUUUGUGUGACACAGAACAAACUGCUGUAAAGUGGUGAUAACAACAACUUACAGAGUAAAAUGUGCAUCUCAGCAGCUGGAUGUGAGUGUGUAUGUUGUCGAUCAUUGUUUGCUAAUAA